GAGCGUUUAGUUUAUAAAAAACAAGUGUUUUGAAAACACUAAUAAAGUUCAUCUACUUAACGCUCU
rnacentral:tRNA from 1 species